UUUUAUGAGAGGUGUGAUUUCCCGUUGUGAGUUAUACUAAUUUGGUGGGGAGCGAAGGAAUGCAUCACACGACUUCAACAGCGAAAGCAGAGUGGAUGACGCUUCUGACGUCUCCAAUGGAAUUCCAGUCGGCAGUCCUCGAACCCAUCAUGCAGCGUAGCCUUGUCUGCGCACCCGCUUUCACAUUUCAGUAGGAGAAAGACUAUGGUGUGGGACAGAGAAGUUUUUCUUUUCAAAACUUCGGAUUGCAUCUAUGUCCAUCAACUAGGGACUGUCUGGCAAAAAAAAAACUUACUCUUCAAAGGUUCAGUACUGCAGCGGAAUCAGCCUGGGUCUUAGAAUUGCAAAUGUCUCUUGGAGUGGAAGGAGUCCAGUUAAAACAUUAUGGACUUCAGAUCUACAUAUGGGACGCAUUCCAAAGCUUUUAAAGACAGGUGUGUCUCCGGGUUUGGAGAUGAAUGUUCAUUCCACAUGCACAAUUUACAAAAAAACAUAAAUAUCUAUUUGAUCAGACUAGCUUUUUUUUAGGAACUUGCUGUGGCGUUUCUGUUUAAACUUCUCAUGAGACUGAACAGAGAACGCCCUGUCUGAAAAAGGUCAACAUUUGCAUGCAUAUAAUUAUACUUGAAACGUAAUUACCAUUUGAAUGAUAAGCACAGAUACUGAACUAUUACUUAGUGGAAGUUUCAGUUAGUCACUGGCCCGAUGUUUUCCUUUUCAAAUCUGUACCACUGCUACUAUCGUACUAUUUGCUACUUCCCUCAAUUUGACCUCAUGGACUUGCCAAUAUUGAGGAUUAUGUUGUCUUACUGUUUUUAUGACAAAUAAAAAACCUGGUGAUUAUGAACACAUCUUAGGAGGAUGUGUUGUGGGAGAGGCUGUUUACUGUUUGUCCCAUUGUUGGAUUAUCAUGGAUAUUGCUGUCUGGAUGUCUGAACUGUGGGUUGAAACGAGUGAGCGGUUGUUUGUGAAUCUCUUGGCAUGACUCCCGUGCCUGCUGUGCUGACAAGCAGUGUGUUUCUAACUGGCUCAGUUCAGCAGGAACAGGGGCUCUGUCUCCUCAGCCACGCAACACUGGAGGAGGUGCCACUCGGGGAAAAGCAACAGACGCAUGAGGUAUAUGAUAUACAUUCACACACAUACAGCAAUAAUUUUAUCUAUUCCAGUGGUGCAAGUUAUCAUUUAUGUCCAUUUUGGAGAGAAUAUUUAAGCAUGAAUUUAGUACACUUAUAUGUUGUGGUAAUGUUCUGUAGCAAUACUGCAUACACUUAUUUCACAACAAAAUUAAACUUUUGCAUUGGUGUUAAAGUUUGGUGCUUGUAUUUGUACUAUACAUUUAUGAUGGUGCAUUUGUAAACUGCUCAUUUUACACAAUAAAUUUGUUCAUCAUC